UAAACCAGGAUUAGAUACCCUAUUAUAUUUAAACAAAUUGGGUAGUAUUAUUAAUAAAAACCUUUAUACUUUGGCGGCAUUUUAUCUUAUUAGAGGAAUAUGUUCAUUAAUCGAAACCACACGAUAGUUUUUACUUACUAUAAAAUUUUAUAUACCCCCGUCUAAAGAAUUUAUUUAAAAUUUUUAUUCCAAAUUAUAUUAAAAAAAGUUAGGUAAAGGUGUAGACUAUUAGUAAGAUUAAAUGUAUUACAUUAAAAAAAAUUUAAGGAUAAAACAGUUAACUGUUUAUUAAAAGAGGAUUUAUAAGUAAUUUACUUUUAAUAAAAAUUAAUGAAUAAGAAAAUAAAUGUGCACAUAUCGCCCGUC
rnacentral:rRNA from 1 species